GAUAAAGAACGCAGCGAAAUGCGAUACGUAAUGUGAAUUGCAGAAUUCAGUGAAUCAUCGAAUCUUUGAACGCAUAUUGCGCUCUCUGGUAUUCCGGAGAGCAUGCUUGUUUGAGUAUCAGUAAACACCUCAACUUCCAUAUCUUUUUUGAAAUGGGAGUUGGACUUGAGUGAUCCCAACGCUUUUCCUCACCGAAAAGUGGCGGGUUACUUGAAAUGCAGGUGCAGCUGGACUUUUCUCUGAGCUAUAAGCAUAUCUAUUUAGUCUGCCUAAAAAACAGAUUAUUACCUUUGCUGCAGCUAACAUAAAGGAGAUUAGUUCUUGUGCUGACUGAUGCAGGAUUCACAAAGACAGGCUUCGGCCGACUUUGUAAACUCGAUCUCAAAUCAAGUAAGACUACCCGCUGAACUUAAGCAUAUCAAUAAGCGGAGGA
rnacentral:misc_RNA from 1 species